rnacentral:rRNA from 1 species
GACGAACGCUGGCGGCGUGCCUAAUACAUGCAAGUCGAACGCACAGUUUAUACCUUUGCUUGCUACACCAUAGACGGUGAGUUGCGAACGGGUGAGUAACGCGUAGCUUACCUGCCUGGUAGCGUGGGAUAACUAUUGGAAACACUAGCUAAUACCUCAUACUAUUAAUUAUUGCAUGAUAAUUGAUGGAAAUUUGCAACUGCAUCACUACCAGAUGGACCUGCGUUGUAUUAGCUAGUAGGUGAGGUAACGGCGCACCUAGGCGACGAUACAUAGCCGACCGGAGAGGGUGAUCAGCCACACUGGGACUGAGACACGGCCCAGACGCCUACGGGAGGCAGCAGUAGGGAAUCUUCGGCAAUGGACGGAAGUCUGACCGAGCAACGCCGCGUGAGGGAAGAAGGUUUUCGGAUCGUAAAGCUCUGUUGUAAGGGAAGAAAGGGUGUGAGAGUGGAAAGUUCACACUGUGACGGUAUCUUACCAGAAAGGGACGGCUAACUACGUG